GAUGAACGCUGGCGGCGUGCUUAACACAUGCAAGUCGAACGGAAAGGCUCCUGCUUGCUGGGGUACUCGAGUGGCGAACGGGUGAGUAACACGUGGGUGAUCUGCCCUGCACUUCGGGAUAAGCCUGGGAAACUGGGUCUAAUACCGGAUAGGACGAUGGUUUGGAUGCCAUUGUGGAAAGUUUUUCGGUGUGGGAUGAGCUCGCGGCCUAUCAGCUUGUUGGUGGGGUAAUGGCCUACCAAGGCGUCGACGGGUAGCCGGCCUGAGAGGGUGGACGGCCACAAUGGGACUGAGAUACGGACCAGACUGCUACGGGAGGCAGCAGUGGGGAGUAUUGCACAAUGAGCGCAAGCCUGAUGCAGCGACGCCGCGUGGGGGAUGACGGCCUUCGGGUUGUAAACUCCUUUCGCUAGGGACGAAGCGCAAGUGACGGUACCUGGAGAAGAAGCACCGGCUAACUACGUG
rnacentral:rRNA from 1 species